rnacentral:rRNA from 1 species
GCUACGGGAGGCUGCAGUGGGGAAUAUUGCACAAUGGGGGGAACCCUGAUGCAGCGACGCCGCGUGGGUGAAGGAGGAUUUCGGUAUGUAAAGCCCUAUCAGCAGGGAAGAACAAUGACGGGACCUGACGAAGAAGCACCGGCUAAAUACGUGCCAGCAGCCGCGGUAAUACGUAUGGUGCAAGCGUUCUCCGGAUUUACGGGGGGUAAAGGGAGCGCAGGCGGCGCGUUCAGCCUGGUGUGACAGCCCGCGGCCCACCCGCGGGACUGCAUUGGGAACUGGCGCGCUGGAGUGCCGGAGGGGUAGGCGGACUUCCUAUUGUAGCGGUGACAUGCGUAGAUAUUAG